GGAUUAGAAGACAAAUCAACCAAAGCUAAUUGUAGUCGCUCUUAAUAGUAGAGAAGCAAAAGGCCAGACUCUUCAAAGUUUUUGUAAAGGGCCAGAACAGGAUGGAUGGUAUUAAGGAAUUAUUAAUACCUACUAAGCUCUUGCAGAUUACAAAGGAUGUGCACCAAAUGCAACGUAAAGACAAAUAAUCAAGCAAACGGGUUUUAUGAGAAAAGAUGAAAAGCUGCCCAUGAACUGCAAGGAAUCAGAGUGGAACUGGAAAAAGCCCAGAAAAAUGUGAAACUUGCACACGGUCAU
rnacentral:lncRNA from 1 species